rnacentral:rRNA from 1 species
UACGAAGGGGGCUAGCGUUGCUCGGAAUUACUGGGCGUAAAGGGCGCGUAGGCGGAUGUCUAAGUUGGGGGUGAAAUCCCGGGGCUCAACCUCGGAAUUGCCUUCAAAACUGGAUAUCUUGAGUUCGGGAGAGGUGAGUGGAACUCCGAGUGUAGAGGUGAAAUUCGUAGAUAUUCGGAAGAACACCAGUGGCGAAGGCGACUCACUGGCCCGAUACUGACGCUGAGGCGCGAAAGCGU